rnacentral:lncRNA from 1 species
UCUUAAAUUAGUAGCUAAUAUAUCGCACAUAUUAUUGAGACCAACUAGCAACAUAGAAAGCACAAUAGUGUACCAACAAUGGCAGCCAAAAUAUUUUGCCUCCUUAUGCUCCUUGGUCUUUCUGCAAGUGCUGCUACGGCGACCAUUUUCCCGCAAUGCUCGCAAGCUCCUAUAGCUUCCCUUCUUCCCCCGUACCUCUCACCAGCGGUGUCUUCGGUAUGUGAAAACCCAAUUCUUCAACCCUACAGGAUCCAACAGGCAAUCACAGCUGGCAUCUUACCUUUAUCACCCUUGUUCCUCCAACAAUCAUCAGCCCUAUUACAUCAGUUACCUUUGGUGCAUUUAUUGGCACAAAACAUCAGGGCACAACAACUACAACAACUUGUGCUAGCAAACCUUGCUGCCUACUCUCAGCAACAGCAGUUUCUUCCAUUCAACCAACUAGCUGCAUUGAACUCUGCUUCUUAUUUGCAACAACAACAACUACCAUUCAGCCAGCUACCUGCUGCCUACCCCCAGCAAUUUCUUCCAUUCAACCAACUGGCAGCAUUGAACUCUCCUGCUUAUUUACAGCAGCAACAACUACUACCAUUCAGCCAGCUAGCUGGUGUGAGCCCUGCUACCUUCUUGAUACAACCACAGUUGUUGCCGUUCUACCAGCACGCUGCGCCUAACGCUGGCACCCUCUUACAACUGCAACAAUUGCUGCCAUUCAACCAACUUGCUUUGACAAACCCAGCAGCGUUCUACCAACAACCCAUCAUUGGUGGUGCCCUCUUUUAGAUUUCUUAUGAGUUAUAGUUCAAUAAUAAAGUUUUUUGUCUGAUGUUUGUGGCUUCCCAGAAAUAAGAAAGUACAUUUCUAGAUUCUUAUGUGCUUCUAGUCUCCAAAUGUGGUUGAUAGUUAUUUUGCUCUAAGAUCGACAGUAAUGAAGUAUAAAUCAUCGUUGUGGUGUGCUACUCGGUUAAUUGAGCAUUAACACACACAAACAUGACGAGGAUGGUAUAAUCUCCAAAAAUAUGUACUUUGUUAGGUGGGACCCUAUAGCCUUGCAUAAUGUGCUAUGUUAGGCAUGCCUGGAAACGUGUGACGCAUAUGUUUUGUGAACCUGUUGAUAUUAUAUGUGCUUUUAUAUUACCAUAUUUUAUUAAAAUACUAAUAUUUAUUACUAGUAAGAUAUAACAUUCUAUCUAGCUUAAAAACUAACCAUAAAUAUUCCAUAAUAACUAGAUUUACCAAACUAAUAUACUAAAUAUACAUAAUAAAUACAAAAUUAACAAGACAAUAAUCAAUAUUUAUGAGCUUAAUAUAUUUAGACAUUAUGGUUGGUCGACCAUAAUCAUGCUAACUUUUCGUACUUGCUUGAUUGUAAAUAUGCUUAGAAUAAUGCCUCUUUGUUCUACAUGGCAAAUAGGGACCAUUAUGGUGUAACACCCUGGGAACCACAAACACCCCGAAAUGCUACUAAACUACACAACUAACCUUCAUAUAUAAAAUUUCGACAGCAUCUCCUUUGAAAAUUUGCAUAAACGUGGAAGCAACAGAGUAUAAACAGAUAUCAUGAUAAGGAAACAUACUAGACAUUAAUAAUCUGCUAGAAAUGGGAAGAUAACCAUAACGACAUAAACUGAAUUAACUAGUGUGCACAACUUGUUUAAAACAAACAUCAUUGACAAGAAGUUUCUAAUUAAAUCAUGGCUGUGCCUGGGUAGCGUUAUUAUGAGAGUGAAGGUGGACGUGAUGCUACUUCCCUCAUUCCCAACAUGAAUCAAGUACCUGCAUUGAGUAAUGCAAGAGUGAGAUGAAAACAUCUCAGCAAGUAAAUUGUUUUGACGAGAUAUUUAAAGCAAAAAAAUUUGAUUUACUCAACAUUUUAAAGGGAUCACAAUUGAGAUCAGAAAUACUUGUAGAUAUAGAACUCAAUAGUCCCAAAAUAACCAGUGCCAUCUCAUUUCCUCAAACAACCACAAUAGGUUGUAUAACACUUCCCUGCGUCAUCAAUACCUGCAAAUAUCACUUCAAUGUAUGCAUAGGAAUGCAAUGUUUAAGUCCUCUGCAUUCAUACUUCUUAGAGUAUAAAACCACACCAUCUGCAAAUAUCACUUCAAUGAAUGCAUAUGAAUGCAAUGCAUAUGUCCUCUGCCUUCAUACCUCUAAGGGUAUGAAGCCGAAUCGUACCCCUCCUCGGGCAACGUACGAUGCUAAGUUGUACCGUUACGGUCGGACCAUAGGUCACGACAAAACUUCAUAUGCAAGUGAAUCAUGACAUGUAUAUGGCUUGCUGCAUUUAUCAAUAUACUUCACUUCCUUCAUAUACAAUACAAACCUCAAAUAAUACUUCGUUUACCUUCAGAUACAAUACAAACCUCAAAUAAUACUUCAUUCACCUUCAGGGGUGUUUAUUAAUCUCGUGGGUCAUACUCGAAUCAUCAUCAUCAUCAAUGAUGAUUAAGCAUCAGUAUAAUACAAUCAAGUAAAGCAUCACCAUAGAGUUCAAUUAUGAAAGAAUUCGAUGAUUCUGAAUAUUAGAGUGUAUGCGAUGAAACAACAACGUCAAAACGGUAGCAACCACCGCUACAUUCACUUGCCUUCAUCGAAGAAGAAAAACAUACUAGGCAUGAUUCAGAGUGUAGACACCUGCUGUGGGGCUUAAAACUUAGUACAAAUAUUCCACAAACAUUUGCCAACAAUUAACAAAUCGCUCCUACACUUGAAACCAAGACCCGGUGGAAUGACUCCCACCCUGAACCACAUGCCAAACAAUAGUAGUGUUGUUUGUUAAUUUUGUAUCUUUAAAAUUAUAACAGUGGUGAUAUCAAACAAAUACUCCAGAAGUUUCUACACAAAAUACUCUACAACUUUGGUAUUCAAUGGAUAAUUAAAUUUUGCCAUCUAUAAGUUCUAAAACAUCUGAUAAGAUAACUGACUGAAUUUGUUUCAGACAACAGCAUAGUUAACUUCAAAAUUCGAUAUCUCCCAAACUCCUCAACCAAAAAUUAUGAAAUUAUUCUGACAGUAAGAACUUUUUUCCCUCUACAAAAGUAUCUAUAGUUGGAAGAGCCAAUUCGGCCAUUUACUAGAUGAAACCUACCAGUUAACAGACCCGCUCAUUUUUGUCAGGCAAACAAGAACCCUUAUAUAUCAAAGAGUAGUGGAUUUGAAUUUGUCUAAUAUGAAGUUUAUGGGCUUGGAUCAUUUAAAGUAUUUUAUAAUUCUGAAAGACAAGAUUAAACUAACUAUGUAUGAUCCUUUAGCACUGUACAGAUGGUCGAUGGGACAGUUACAUGGUUUAUAUAGAUGGACCUAUCUAUAUUCCUUCAGUGGUUGAGAAAAAGGUAAAGGUGUGUCACACUCACGUGUGCGCCGCCUCUACCGAGAUGAGGCAUGGCGUUGCAAGGUGAGGCAUGGCAUGGUGCAGCACGAUCGUAUACAUGGUCGUGGCACAGUGUAGCACUGUUGUGGAUAGAUAGAUAAACUUUUGUUGUAGUUAGAGUGCAUGAGUUUUUGAAUGCAACACAAGAAUUUUCACAAUUUAACUUAAUUAAGAAGUUAUAUCUUGAUGACACAGAGUUACCUGACCAUUGAUCUCACAUGCCCUUUUAGCUCUCUCGUUCUCUAGACUCACCCUGACUAUUUAGGUCUCCUGACUCGCCAAUAUAAACACCAUCCUAUCAUUUGCUCUCGAAUACUUCUGUGUCACAACUCAACUGUCAGAUGAGUACUCCAUUACAGCACUGAGCAGGCCUCCGAAAUGAAUAUCUACUCAGAUGAAGGACGACAAUCGUGUUCUAGGGAAAUAUCGGUGACACAACUCCUUACUUCCUCCGCUUCUUCCUAGUGUUUUUUGUUGUGAUUGAGUCGACACAGCAACAACACUGCACUAUUACAACCAGUACGACUAUAUUAACUAGCAAUGUCUUCCUUAUAUGUUACUAUUUAUUUUGCUCAUAUUCAUUAUGUUUAAAUCACAUAGGCACCUUUUUGUUGGCAUCAAAAAAUUAGUAUCAACUUUCUAGAUUAAAGUGAAACUAAAAGUACCUAAAUUUCUAUCGGUGGGGAUCGAGUGAUUCUUUAAACCAAUUAUUACGCAAGUUAACCACACUAAAAUUAACAUUGGUGAACCGUGCCAUGAUUUUUUCUAAUGGAAAAUAGCCAAACCAAGCAACACAUAUGUGGCUAUCGUUACACAUGUGUAAAGGUAUUGCAUCACACCAUUGUCACCCAUGUAUUUGGACAAUACCGAGAGGAAAAACCACUUAUUUAUUGUAUUUUAUCAAGUUUGUCUUGCUUACGUAUAAAUUAUAACCCAACAAAGUAAUCACUAAAUGUCAAAACCAACUAGAUACCAUGUCAUCUCUACCUUAUCUUACUAAUAUUCUUUUUGCAAAAUCCAAAAUUAAUCUUGCACAAGCACAAGGACUGAGAUGUGUAUAAAUAUCUCUUAAAUUAGUAGCUAAUAUAUCACACAUAUUAUUGAGACCAACUAGCAACAUAGAAAGCACAAUAGUGUACCAACAAUGGCAGCUAAAAUAUUUUGCCUCCUUAUGCUCCUUGGUCUUUCUGCAAGUGCUGCUACGGCGACCAUUUUCCCACAAUGCUCACAAGCUCCUAUAGCUUCCCUUCUUCCCCCGUACCUCUCACCAACGGUGUCUUCGGUAUGUGAAAACCCAAUUCUUCAACCCUACAGGAUCCAACAGGCAAUCGCAGCUGGCAUCUUACCUUUAUCACCCUUGUUCCUCCAACAAUCAUCAGCCCUAUUACAGCAGUUACCUUUGGUGCAUUUAUUGGCACAAAACAUCAGGGCACAACAACUACAACAACUUGUGCUAGCAAACCUUGCUGCCUACUCUCAGCAACAGCAGUUUCUUCCAUUCAACCAACUAGCUGCAUUGAACUCUGCUUCUUAUUUGCAACAACAACAACUACCAUUCAGCCAGCUAUCUGCUGCCUACCCCCAGCAAUUUCUUCCAUUCAACCAACUGACAGCAUUGAACUCUCCUGCUUAUUUACAGCAGCAACAACUACUACCAUUCAGCCAGCUAGCUGGUGUGAGCCCUGCUACCUUCUUGACACAACCACAGUUGUUGCCGUUCUACCAGCACGCUGCGCCUAACGCUGGCACCCUCUUACAACUGCAACAAUUGCUGCCAUUCAACCAACUUGCUUUGACAAACCCAGCAGCAUUCUACCAACAACCCAUCAUUGGUGGUGCCCUCUUUUAGAUUUCUUAUGAGUUAUAGUUCAAUAAUAAAGUUUUUUGUCUGAUGUUUGUGGCUUCCCAGAAAUAAGAAAGUACAUUUCUAGAUUCUUAUGUGCUUCUAGUCUCCAAAUGUGGUUGAUAGUUAUUUUGCUCUAAGAUCAACAGUAAUGAAGUAUAAAUCAUCGUUGUGGUGUGCUACUCGGUUAAUUGAGCAUUAACACACACAAACAUGACGAGGAUGGUAUAAUCUCCAAAAAUGUGUACUUUGUUAGGUGGGACCCUAUAGCCUUGAUUAAUGUGCUAUGUUAGGCAUGCCUGGAAACGUGUGACGCAUAUGUUUUGUGAACCUGUUGAUAUUAUAUGUGCUUUUAUAUUACCAUAUUUUAUUAAAAUACUAAUAUUUAUUACUAGUAAGAUAUAACAUUCUAUCUAGCUUAAAAACUAACCAUAAAUAUUCCAUAAUAACUAGAUUUACCAAACUAAUAUACUAAAUAUACAUAAUAAAUACAAAAUUAACAAGACAAUAAUCAAUAUUUAUGAGCUUAAUAUAUUUAGACAUUAUGGUUGGUCGACGAUAAUCAUGCUAACUUUUCGUAAUUGCUUGAUUGUAAAUAUGCUUAGAAUAAUGCCUCUUUGUUCUACAUGGCAAAUAGGGACCAUUAUGGUGUAACACCCUGGGAACCACAAACACCCCGAAAUGCUACUAAACUACACAACUAACCUUCAUAUAUAAAAUUUCGACAGCAUCUCCUUUGAAAAUUUGCAUAGACGUGGAAGCAACAGAGUAUAAACAGAUAUCAUGAUAAGAAAACAUACUAGACAUUAAUAAUCUGCUAGAAAUGGGAAGAUAACCAUAACGACAUAAACUGAAUUAACUAGUGUGCACAACUUGUUAAAAACAAACAUCGUUGACAAGAAGUUUCUAAUUAAAUCAUGGUUGUGCCUGGGCAGCGUUAUUAUGAGAGUGAAGGUGGACGUGAUGCUACUUCCCUCAUUCCCAACAUGAAUCAAGUACCUGCAUUGAGCAAUGCAAGAGUGAGAUGAAAACAUCUCAGCAAGUAAAUUGUUUUGACGAGAUAUUUAAACCAAAAAAAUUUGAUUUACUCAACAUUUUAAAGGGAUCACAAUUGAGAUCAGAAAUACUUGUAGAUAUAGAACUCAAUAGUCCCAAAAUAACCAGUGCCAUCUCAUUUCCUCAAACAACCACAAUAGGUUGUAUAACACUUCCCUGCGUCAUCAAUACCUGCAAAUAUCACUUCAAUGUAUGCAUAGGAAUGCAAUGUUUAAGUCCUCUGCAUUCAUACUUCUUAGAGUAUAAAACCACACCAUCUGCAAAUAUCACUUCAAUGAAUGCAUAUGAAUGCAAUGCAUAUGUCCUCUGCCUUCAUACCUCUAAGGGUAUGAAGCCGAAUCGUACCCCUCCUCGGGCAACGUACGAUGCUAAGUUGUACCGGUACGGUCGGACCAUAGGUCACGACAAAACUUCAUAUGCAAGUGAAUCAUGACAUGUAUAUGGCUUGCUGCAUUUAUCAAUAUACUUCACUUCCUUCAUAUACAAUACAAACCUCAAAUAAUACUUCGUUUACCUUCAGAUACAAUACAAACCUCAAAUAAUACUUCAUUCACCUUCAGGGGUGUUUAUUAAUCUCGUGGGUCAUACUCGAAUCAUCAUCAUCAUCAAUGAUGAUUAAGCAUCAGUAUAAUACAAUCAAGUAAAGCAUCACCAUAGAGUUCAAUUAUGAAAGAAUUCGAUGAUUCUGAAUAUUAGAGUGUAUGCGAUGAAACAACAACGUCAAAACGGUAGCAACCACCGCUACAUUCAUUUGCCUUCAUCGAAGAAGAAAAAUGUACUAGGCAUGAUUCAGAGUGUAGACACCUGCUGUGGGGCUUAAAACUUAGUACAAAUAUUCCACAAACAUUUGCCAACAAUUAACAAAUCGCUCCUACACUUGAAACCAAGACCCGGUGGAAUGACUCCCACCCUGAACCACAUGCCAAACAAUAGUAGUGCUGUUUGUUAAUUUUGUAUCUUUAAAAUUAUAACAGUGGUGAUAUCAAACAAAUACUCUAGAAGUUUCUACACAAAAUACUCUACAACUUCGGUAUUCAAUGGAUAAUUAAAUUUUGCCAUCUAUAAGUUCUAAAACAUCUGAUAAGAUAACUGACUGAAUUUGUUUCAGACAGCAGCAUAGUUAACUUCAAAAUUCGAUAUCUCCCAAACUCCUCAACCAAAAAUUAUGAAAUUAUGCUGACAGUAAGAACUUUUUGUCCCUCUACAAAAGUAUCUAUAGUUGGAAGAGCCAAUUCGGCCAUUUACUAGAUGAAACCUACCAGUUAACAGACCCGCUCAUUUUUGUCAGGCAAACAAGAACCCUUAUAUAUCAAAGAGUAGUGGAUUUGAAUUUGUCUAAUAUGAAGUUUAUGGGCUUGGAUCAUUUAAAGUAUUUUAUAAUUCUGAAAGACAAGAUUAAACUAACUAUGUAUGAUCCUUUAGCACCGUACAGAUGGUCGAUGGGACAGUUACAUGGUUUAUAUAGAUGGACCUAUCUAUAUUCCUUCAGUGGUUGAGAAAAAGGUAAAGGUGUGUCACACUCACGUGUGCGCCGCCUCUGCCGAGAUGAGGCAUGGCGUUGCAAGGUGAGGCAUGGCAUGGUGCAGCACGAUCGCAGUCAUGGUCGUGGCACAGUGUAGCACUGUUGUGGAUAGAUAGAUAAACUAUUGUUGUAGUUAGAGUGCAUGAGUUUUUGAAUGCAACACUAGGAUUUUCACAAUUUAACUUAAUUAAGAAGUUAUAUCUUGAUGACACAGAGUUACCUGACCAUUGAUCUCACAUGCCCUUUUAGCUCUCUUGUUCUCUAGACUCACCCUGACUAUUGAGGUCUCUUGACUCGCCAAUAUAAACACCAUCCUAUCAUUUGCUCUCGAAUACUUUUGUGUCACAACUCAACUGUCAGAUGAGUACUCCAUUACAGCACUGAGCAGGCCUCCGAAAUGAAUAUCUACUCAGAUGAAGGACGACAAUCGUGUUCUAGGGAAAUAUCAGUGACACAACUCCUUACUUCCUCUGCUUCUUCCUAGUGUUUUUUGUUGUGAUUGAGUCGACACAGCAACAACACUGCACUAUUACAACCAGUACGACUAUAUUAACUAGCAAUGUCUUCCUUAUAUGUUACUAUUUAUUUUGCUCAUAUUCAUUAUGUUUAAAUCACAUAGGCACCUUUUUGUUGGCAUCAAAAAAUUAGUAUCAACUUUCUAGAUUAAAGUGAAACUAAAAGUACCUAAAUUUCUAUCGGUGGGGAUCGAGUGAUUCUUUAAACCGAUUAUUACACAAGUGAACCACACUAAAAUUAACAUUGGUGAAUCGUGCCAUGAUUUUUUCUAGUGGAAAAUAGCCAAACCAAGCAACACAUAUGUGGCUAUCGUUACACAUGUGUAAAGGUAUUGCAUCACACCAUUGUCACCCAUGUAUUUGGACAAUACCGAGAGGAAAAACCACUUAUUUAUUGUAUUUUAUCAAGUUUGUCUUGCUUACGUAUAAAUUAUAACCCAACAAAGUAAUCACUAAAUGUCAAAACCAACUAGAUACCAUGUCAUCUCUACCUUAUCUUACUAAUAUUCUUUUUGCAAAAUCCAAAAUUAAUCUUGCACAAGCACAAGGACUGAGAUGUGUAUAAAUAUCUCUUAAAUUAGUAGCUAAUAUAUCACACAUAUUAUUGAGACCAACUAGCAACAUAGAAAGCACAAUAGUGUACCAACAAUGGCAGCCAAAAUAUUUUGCCUCCUUAUGCUCCUUGGUCUUUCUGCAAGUGCUGCUACGGCGACCAUUUUCCCACAAUGCUCACAAGCUCCUAUAGCUUCCCUUCUUCCCCCGUACCUCUCACCAGCGGUGUCUUCGGUAUGUGAAAACCCAAUUCUUCAACCCUAUAGGAUCCAACAGGCAAUCGCAGCUGGCAUCUUACCUUUAUCACCCUUGUUCCUCCAACAAUCAUCAGCCCUAUUACAGCAGUUACCUUUGGUGCAUUUAUUGGCACAAAACAUCAGGGCACAACAACUACAACAACUUGUGCUAGCAAACCUUGCUGCCUACUCUCAGCAACAACAGUUUCUUCCAUUCAACCAACUAGCUGCAUUGAACUCUGCUUCUUAUUUGCAACAACAACAACUACCAUUCAGCCAGCUAUCUGCUGCCUACCCCCAGCAAUUUCUUCCAUUCAACCAACUGACAGCUUUGAACUCUCCUGCUUAUUUACAGCAGCAACAACUACUACCAUUCAGCCAGCUAGCUGGUGUGAGCCCUGCUACCUUCUUGACACAACCACAAUUGUUGCCGUUCUACCAGCACGCUGCGCCUAACGCUGGCACCCUCUUACAACUGCAACAAUUGCUGCCAUUCAACCAACUUGCUUUGACAAACCCAACAGCAUUCUACCAACAACCCAUCAUUGGUGGUGCCCUCUUUUAGAUUUCUUAUGAGUUAUAGUUCAAUAAUAAAGUUUUUUGUCUGAUGUUUGUGGCUUCCCAGAAAUAAGAAAGUACAUUUCUAGAUUCUUAUGUGCUUCUAGUCUCCAAAUGUGGUUGAUAGUUAUUUUGCUCUAAGAUUAGCAGUAAUGAAGUAUAAAUCAUCGUUGUGGUGUGCUACUCGGUUAAUUGAGCAUUAACACACACAAACAUGACGAGGAUGGUAUAAUCUCCAAAAAUGUGUACUUUGUUAGGUGGGACCCUAUAGCCUUGCAGAAUGUGCUACGUUAGGCAUGCCAAUGGAAACGUGUGACACAUACGUUUUGUGAAUCUGUUGAUAUUAUAUGUGCUUUUAUAUUACCAUAUUUUAUUAAAAUACUAAUAUUUAUUACUAGUAAGAUAUAACAUUCUAUCUAGCUUAAAAACUAACCAUAAAUAUUCCAUAAUAACUAGAUUUACCAAACUAAUAUACUAAAUAUACAUAAUAAAUAUAAAAUUAACAAGACAAUAAUUAAUAUUUAUGAGCUUAAUUUAUUUAGACAUUAUGGUUGGUCGACGAUAAUCAUGCUAACUUUCCGUAAUUGCUUGAUUGUAAAUAUGCUUAGAAUAAUGCCUCUUUGUUCUACAUGGCAAAUAGGGACCAUUAUGGUGUAACACCCCGGGAUCCACAAACACCCCGAAAUGCUACUAAACUACACAACUAACCUUCAUAUAUAAAAUUUCGACAGCAUCUCCUUUGAAAAUUUGCAUAAACGUGGAAGCAACAGAGUAUAAACAGAUAUCAUGAUAAGGAAACAUACUAGACAUUAAUAAUCUGCUAGAAAUGGGAAGAUAACCAUAACGACAUAAACUGAAUUAACUAGUGUGCACAACUUGUUAAAAACAAACAUCGUUGACAAGAAGUUUCUAAUUAAAUCAUGGUUGUGCCUGGGCAGCGUUAUUAUGAGAGUGAAGGUGGACGUGAUGCUACUUCCCUCAUUCCCAACAUGAAUCAAGUACCUGCAUUGAGUAAUGCAAGAGUGAGAUGAAAACAUCUCAGCAAGUAAAUUGUUUUGACGAGAUAUUUAAACCAAAAAAAUUGAUUUAAUCAACAUUUUAAAGGGAUCACAAUUGAGAUCAGAAAUACUUGUAGAUAUAGAACUCAAUAGUCCCAAAAUAACCAAUGCCAUCUCAUUUCCUCAAACAACCACAAUAGGUUGUAUAACACUUCCCUGCGUCAUCAAUACCUGCAAAUAUCACUUCAAUGUAUGCAUAGGAAUGCAAUGUUUAAGUCCUCUGCAUUCAUACUUCUUAGAGUAUAAAACCACACCAUCUGCAAAUAUCACUUCAAUGAAUGCAUAUGAAUGCAAUGCAUAUGUCCUCUGCCUUCAUACCUCUAAGGGUAUGAAGCCGCAUCGUACCCCUCCUCGGGCAACGUACGAUGCUAAGUUGUACCGGUACGGUCGGACCAUAGGUCACGACAAAACUUCAGAUGCAAGUGAAUCAUGACAUGUAUAUGGCAUGCUGCAUUUAUCAAUAUACUUCACUUCCUUCAUAUACAAUACAAACCUAAAAUAAUACUUCGUUUACCUUCAGAUACAAUACAAACCUCAAAUAAUACUUCAUUCACCUUCAGGGGUGUUUAUUAAUCUCGUGGGUCAUACUCAAAUCAUCAUCAUCAUCAAUGAUGUUUAAGCAUCAGUAUAAUACAAUCAAGUAAAGCAUCACCAUAGAGUUCAAUUAUGAAAGAAUUCGAUGAUUCUGAAUAUUAGAGUGUAUGCGAUGAAACAACAAAGUCAAAACGGUAGCAACCACCUCUACAUUCACUUGCCUUCAUCGAAGAAGAAAAAGGUACUAGGCAUGAUUCGGAGUGUAGACACCUGCUGUGGGGCUUAAAACUUAGUACAAAUAUUCCAUAAACAUUUGCCAACAAUUAACAAAUCGCUCCUACACUUGAAACCAAGACCCGGUGGAAUGACUCCCACCCUGAACCACAUGCCAAACAACAAUAGUGUUGUUUGUUAAUUUCUAUCUUUAAAAUUAUAACAGUGGUGAUAUCAAACAAAUACUCUAUACGUUUCUACACAAAAUACUCUACAACUUCGGUAUUCAAUGGAUAAUUAAAUUUUGCCAUCUAUAAGUUCUAAAACAUCUGACAAGAUAACUGACUGAAUCUGUUUCAGACAACAGCAUAGUUAACUUCAAAAUUCGAUAUCUCCCUAACUCCUCAACAAAAAAUUAUGAAAUUAUGCUGACAGUAAGAACUUUUAUCCCUCUACAAAAGUCUCCAUAGUUGAAAGAGCCAAUUCGGCCAUUUACUAGAUGAAACCUACCAGUUAACGGACCCGCUCAUUUUUGUCAAGCAAACAAGAACCCUUAUAUAUCAAAGAGUAGUGGAUUUGAAUUUGUCUAAUAUGAAGUUUACGGGCUUGGCUCAUUUAAAGUAUUUAAUAAUUCUGAAAGACAAGAUUAAACUAACUAUGUAUGAUCCUUUAGCACCGUACAGAUGGUCGAUGGGACAGUUACAUGGUUUAUAUAGAUGGACCUAUCUAUAUUCCUUCAGUGGUUGAGAAAAAAGUAAAGGUGUGUCACACUCACGUGUGCGCCGCCUCCGCCGAGACGAGGCAUGGCGUUGCAAGGUGAGGCAUGGCAUGGUGUAGCACGAUAGCAGUCAUGGUCGUGGCACAGUGUAGCACUGUUGUGGAUAGAUAGGUAAACUAUUGUUGUAGUUAGAGUGCAUGAGUUUUUGAAUGCAACACUAGAAUUUUCACAAUUUAACUUAAUUAAGAAGUUAUAUCUUGAUGACACAGAGUUACCUGACCAUUGAUCUCACAUGCCCUUUUAGCUCUCUCGUUCUCUAGACUCACCCUGACUAUUUAAGUCUCUUGACUCGCCAAUAUAAACACCAUCCUAUCAUUUGCUCUAGAAUACUUCUGUGUCACAACUCAACUGUCAGAUGAGUACUCCAUUACAGCACUUACGUACACGAGUUCUAUGAGAGCAGGCCUCCAAAAUGAAUAUCUACUUAGAUGAAGGACGACAAUCGUGUUCUAGGGAAAUAUCAGCGACACAACUCCUUACUUCCUUCGCUUCUUCCUAGUGUUUUUUGUUGUGAUUGAGUCGACACAGCAACAACACUGCACUAUUACAACCAGUACGACUAUAUCAACUAGCAAUGUCUUCCUUAUAUGUUACUAUUUAUUUUGCACAUAUUCAUUAUGUUUAAAUCACAUAGGCACCUUUCUAUUGGCAUCAAAAAAUUAGUAUCAACUUUCUAGAUUAAAAUGAAACUAAAAGUACAUAAAUUUCUAUCGGUGGGGAUCGAGUGAUUCUUUAAACCGAUUAUUACACAAGUUAACCACACUAAAAUUAACAUUGGUGAAUCGUGCCAUGAUUUUUUUUCUAGUGGAAAAUAGCCAAACCAAGCAACACAUAUGUGGCUAUCGUUACACAUGUGUAAAGGUAUUGCAUCACACUAUUGUCACCCAUGUAUUUGGACAAUACCGAGAGGAAAAACCACUUAUUUAUUGUAUUUUAUCAAGUUUGUCUUGCUUACGUAUAAAAUUAUAACCCAACAAAGUAAUCACUAAACGUCAAAACCAACUAGAUAUCAUGUCAUCUCUACCUUAUCUUACUAAUAUUCUUUUUGCAAAAUCCAAAAUUAAUCUUGCACAAGCACAAGGACUGAGAUGUGUAUAAAUAUCUCUUAAAUUAGUAGCUAAUAUAUCGCACAUAUUAUUUAGACCAACUAGCAACAUAGAAAGCACAAUAGUGUACCAACAAUGGCAGCCAAAAUAUUUUGCCUCCUUAUGCUCCUUGGUAUUUCUGCAAGUGCUGCUACGGCGACCAUUUUCCCGCAAUGCUCACAAGCUCCUAUAGCUUCCCUUCUUCCCCCGUACCUCUCACCAGCGGUGUCUUCGGUAUGUGAAAACCCAAUUCUUCAACCCUACAGGAUCCAACAGGCAAUCGCAGCUGGCAUCUUACCUUUAUCACCCUUGUUCCUCCAACAAUCAUCAGCCCUAUUACAGCAGUUACCUUUGGUGCAUUUAUUGGCACAAAACAUCAGGGCACAACAACUACAACAACUUGUGCUAGCAAACCUUGCUGCCUACUCUCAGCAACAGCAGUUUCUUCCAUUCAACCAACUAGCUGCAUUGAACUCUGCUUCUUAUUUGCAACAACAACAACUACCAUUCAGCCAGCUACCUGUUGCCUACCCCCAGCAAUUUCUUCCAUUCAACCAACUGGCAGCAUUGAACUCUCCUGCUUAUUUACAGCAGCAACAACUACUACCAUUCAGCCAGCUAGCUGGUGUGAGCCCUGCUACCUUCUUGACACAACCACAGUUGUUGCCGUUCUACCAGCACGCUGCGCCUAACGCUGGCACCCUCUUACAACUGCAACAAUUGCUGCCAUUCAACCAACUUGCUUUGACAAACCUAGCAGUGUUCUACCAACAACCCAUCAUUGGUGGUGCCCUCUUUUAGAUUUCUUAUGAGUUAUAGUUCAAUAAUAAAGUUUUUUGUCUGAUGUUUGUGGCUUCCCAGAAAUAAGAAAGUACAUUUCUAGAUUCUUAUGUGCUUCUAGUCUCCAAAUGUGGUUGAUAGUUAUUUUGCUCUAAGAUCAGCAGUACAACAACAACAACAACAACAACAACAACAACAACAAAGCCUUUUUGUCCCAAGCACGUUGGGGUAGGCUAGAGAUGAAACCCCGUAUGAAAACCUCAGAGCUCAACCCCCAAAGAACAGAAAAGGGAAACAAAGGCAAAGGAGAACCGAAAACAACGAAACGGGGAAACACAUAAAAGAGAUAAAACCCACAAGGACCAGCAAGAUCUAAAAUGGACACAAGAAAAGGUCAAACGAUUAAGGAGGAAAAGCGAAACUAUCAAUCAGGGUUCUGGCACGUGAAUUGCACACUUCCACCCCUUCCUAUCUGCGGCGAGCUCUUUGUCAAUAUUCCACUCCUUCAGGUCUCUCUUCACAGCCUCUGUCCACGUCAAAGUUGGUCGACCUCUACCUCUCUUCACAUUUUCGGGACGCCUAAUUAUUCCGAUAUGCACUGGUGCCUCUUCAGGUCUUCGUUGGAUAUGUCCAAACCAUCUCAAGCGAUGUUGCAUAAGCUUCUCCUCAAUUGGCGCCACUCCUACUCUCUCUCGUAUAUCAUCAUUCCGGACUCGAUCUCUCCUUGUGUGGCCACAUAUCCAGCGCAACAUACGCAUCUCUGCCACACUUAGUUGUUGGACAUGUCGUCUUUUAGUGGGCCAACAUUCUGCUCCAUACAACAUAGCCGGCCGGAUUGCUGUCCUGUAGAAUUUGCCUUUUAGUUUGCGUGGCACCCGGUGGUCGCAUAAGACACCCGCAGCUUGUCGCCACUUCAACCAUCCGGCUUUAAUUCUAUGACUGACAUCCUCAUCGAUGUCUCCCUCCUUUUGAAGCAUUGAUCCUAAGUAACGAAAAGUGUCUUUCUUGGGUACCACUUGCCCAUCAAGACUAACAUCGCCAUCCUCAUACCCCAUGGCACUGAAAUCACACUUCAUAUACUCUGUUUUAGACCUACUAAGCCUAAAACCUUUUGCUUCCAGCGUCUGCCUCCACAAUUCCAACUUUUGAGAAACACCACUCCUACUCUCCUCAAUAAGUACCACAUCAUCGGCAAAAAGCAUACACCACGGUAAAACUCCUUGUAUGUCCCUUGUGACCUCAUCUAUCACCAAAGCGAAAAGAUAAGGGCUCAAAGCCGACCCUUGAUGUAGUCCUAUGUUAAUUGGAAAGUCAUCGGUGUCUCCAUCACUUGUUCGGACACUUGUCACAACAUUAGUGUACAUAUCUUUAAUAAGAUUAAUGUACUUUGUUGCUACUUUGUGUUUUUCCAAGGCCCACCACAUUACACUCCUAGGUACUUUGUCAUAAGCCUUCUCCAAGUCUAUGAAGACCAUAUGCAGGUCUUUCUUUUGUUCUCUGAAUCUCUCCAUAAGUUGUCUUAGUAAGAAAAUGGCCUCCAUAGUUGAUCUCCCGGGCAUGAAACCAAACUGAUUUUGGGUCACGCUCGUCAUCUUUCGCAGGCGGUGUUCAAUGACUCUCUCCCAUAGCUUCAUUGUAUGGCUCAUGAGCUUAAUUCCACGGUAAUUAGUACAACUUUGAACAUCUCCUUUGUUCUUGAAGAUUGGUACUAAUGUACUCCGCCGCCACUCGUCGGGCAUUCUGUUUGCCCGAAAGAUGGUGUUGAAAAGCUUAGUCAGCCAUACUAUCGCUAUGUCUCCAAGACAUCUCCAUACCUCGAUAGGGAUACCAUCAGGGCCCAUCGCCUUUCCUACCUUCAUCCUUUUUAGCGCCUCCUUAACUUCAUAUUCUUGUAUCCUUCGUACAAAACCCCUGUUGUUGUCAUCGAAUGGUUCGUCCAAUUCUAUUGUAGCACUCUCAUUCCCUCCAUUGAACAAUUUGUUGAAGUACUCCUUCCAUCUGUUCUUGAUCUCUUCACUCUUCACUAAUAGUUGGUUUGCUUCGUCCUUGAUGCAUUUGACUUGGUUGACAUCCCUUGUCUUCCUUUCACGAAUCUUGGCCAUCCUAUAGAUAUCCUUUUCUCCCUGCUUUGUGUCCAGCCGUUGAUAAAGGUCGUCAUAGGCUUGACCCCGGGCUCUACUAACCGCUCGCUUUGCAGACUUCUUCGCUAUCCUGUACUUCUCUAUGUUUUCUGCACACUUGUCAUGAUGUAAGCGUUUGUAGCAAUCUUUCUUCUCCUUGAUAGCCUUUUGGACAUCUUCGUUCCACCACCAAGUGUCUUUAACUUCCCUUCUGUUCCCUUGACUCAACCCAAACUCUUCUGAAGCUAUCUUUCGGAUGCAUGUCGCCAUCUUCCUCCACAUGAUAUUUGCGUCUUCCUCUCCUGCCCAAGGGCCCUCCUCGAUAACUCUCUUCUUGAAAGUUUGGGCCACAUCCCCUUUAAGCUUCCACCACUUUGUUCUAGUGACCUUGUUAUGCUUAUUUCGUUGUAAACGAAUCUUAAAACGGAAGUCAGCAACGACAAGCUUAUGUUGGGUUACCACACACUCUCCAGGUAUAACCUUGCAAUCUAAGCAGGCAUGCCUGUCCUCUUUUCUCAAGAGGACGAAAUCAAUCUGGCUAGUGUGUUGGCCACUACUGAAGGUCACCAGGUGGGAUUGCCUCUUCUUAAAGAAAGUGUUUGCUAUAAACAUGUCAUAGGCUAGGGCAAAGUUCAGGAUUUCCUCUCCUUCUUGAUUCCUAGUCCCAAAGCCGAAGCCUCCAUGUACACCCUCGAAACUGGUGCUAGAUGUACCCACAUGGCCAUUGAGAUCUCCUCCUAUGAAGAGCUUCUCGCCAACUGGCACACUACUAACCAUGUCCUCUAGGCCUUCCCAGAACUCUCUCUUUGAGUUCUCAUUAAGGCCUACUUGAGGAGCAUACGCGCUGAUAACAUUGAGAACCAAGUCUCCAAUGACCAGCUUGACUAGGAUGAUUCUAUCUCCUACCCUCUUAACAUCUACUACCCCAUCUUUGAGGCUCUUGUCGAUCAAGACGCCUACUCCAUUCUUGUUUGUUGCAGUCCCCGUGUACCACAACUUGAAACCUGUACCUUUCACUUCCUUCGCCUUCUGUCCCUUCCACUUGGUCUCUUGAACGCAUAAAAUAUUUACCCGUCUCCUCACCGCAACGUCAACUAUUUCUCGUAACUUACCUGUUAAGGAACCUACGUUCCAACUGCCUACACGGACCCUAGUUGGCUCGACUAGCUUCCUUACCCUUCGCACCCGCCGAGGAAGAUGCAAAGACCCUUGCUCAUUUUUCACUACACCCGGGCGCCGAUGUAGCGCGCCACUAAGGAUGCGACGACCCGAUCCUUGCUCACUUAUCACCGGCUCCAGAUCAAGAGACAGCGCGUCACUUGAGGGGUGACGACCCGGCCCUUGCUCAUUUAACACCAUACCCGGGUUCCGAUAUGGCGCGUCGCUAAGAGGGUUACGCCCCAACGGUUUUCUUUGUGGUUUCAUCUCCAUAAGAUUUGGCUGGUUUUUUACGUUGGUUUGCCGGACCUAACACAACCCUCCUCCUUUACCGGGCUUGGGACCGGCUAUGUUGAAACGACUCAAGGAAGUCUUCCAAUCAACAUAGGCGGAGUUUAAGAUCAGCAGUAAUGAAGUAUAAAUCAUCGUUGUGGUGUGCUACUCGGUUAAUUGAGCAUUAACACACACAAACAUGACGAGGAUGGUAUAAUCUCCCAAAAUGUGUACUUUGUUAGGUGGGACCCUAUAGCCUUGCAGAAUGUGCUACGUUAGGCAUGCCGAUGGAAACGUGUGACGCAUACGUUUUGUGAACCUGUUGAUAUUAUAUGUGCUUUUAUAUUACCAUAUUUUAUUAAAACACUAAUAUUUAUUACUAGUAAGAUAUAACAUUCUAUCUAGCUUAAAAACUAACCAUAAAUAUUCCAUAAUAACUAGAUUUACCAAACUAAUAUACUAAAUAUACAUAAUAAAUACAAAAUUAACAAGACAAUAAUCAAUAUUUAUGAGCUUAAUAUAUUUAGACAUUAUGGUUGGUCGACGAUAAUCAUGCUAACUUUCCGUAAUUGCUUGAUUGUAAAUAUGCUUAGACUAAUGCCUCUUUGUUCUACAUGGCAAAUAGGGACCACUCUAGGAGACUAGGAUGUUGCUUGAGAUGAAAAUGUCAGAAUUGGUGUAGACUAAUUUCUAUCGGCCGCUGACUUCACUAUUGUAACCAUUAUAUCUUGGGUAAAUUAUAUACGAUUAUCCAGCCAAAGGGCCCAGAUGAUAAAAAACAAUUUUUAAUUGCUAUUUUAGGACAAAUGAAUUAGCAUGGUUCGAAGGAUUACGACCUUCCCCCCAUGACCUUUGUCAUACUGCUUUAGUCUAAUCGACAAAACCAAGAUUAGUUAUCAUCGAAGAAGUUCAUAAGCGAAGUUGUGACGAUGAAAGGAACAUGGUGGUAAUUGGACGAACGACGACACCUUUGUCUAAGAAUGGCAUCUAGAAGAAAUCUCAGACAAAAUAAGACAUGAAUGGCUUGUCAGUACAGCGCAAAUACUGAAACAUGCGCCCUUGAAUAUGAAACAUUUAUAUGUAAGAGGAAGGGAUAAAAAAACUAAUUACUCGUGCCUAAUGAUUUUAUUGGGAAUUUUAAGGCGAGACUUAUGGCAAAGGGUUAUACCAAAAAUAGGGGAGAGAUUAUUUCGAUACUUAUUCACUUGUUUCCCUUCAAAUGGCCAUACAUGUGUUACUUUUUUUGGCUGCCUCGCAUGGUCUUAUCGUUCAUCAGAUGAAUGUUAAGACUGCUUUCCCAAAUGGAGAGCUUAAGGAACAGAUCUACAUUGACUAGCCUAGUGGUUUUAUAUCAAAUGGUAAAGAGGAAAAGGUGUUUAAAAUAAUUGUUUGGUUUAAAACAAGCACCAAAGCACAUGAGAAAAUCGAUAAAGUUCUGACUUUGGCUAAAUUUGUUGUAAAUGAAGUUGAUAAAUGUGUCCAUUACCAGUUUGACAGGGGCGAAGGUAUGACCUUUUUAUAUGUGGACAAAAUAUUAACCUUUUGUAACGAUGUUAAUAUGAUAGAAGAAGUAAAGUAAUUUUUGUCUAGUAACUUAGAAAUAAACAAUCUGGGAGAGGCUAAUGUUGUUCUUAACAAAGAGAUGUUGAGAGAAGGAGGAAAUAGAGGGUUACUCUUGUGCAAUCCUAUUAGGUUGAAAAGUCGCUGAGUCGCUUUGGAUAUAGUGAUUACACGUCUGGUCCAACAACUUAUGACCCAAGUGUGUUAUUAAGGAAAAAUCAUAUAAUUGCAUAUGAUCAAUUGAGAUAUUGUCAAAUCAUGGUCUUCUCAUAUAUUUGGCAAGCCCAACGAUGUCUCAUAUCUGAUUUGUUAUGAGCAAACUCAGUUGCCUUGUCUCCAAUCUAGGGGAGGAUCAUGACAUGCCCUAGAGAGGGUAUUGCGCUUUCUCAAAGGGAUAUGAGUAAUGUCAUUUACUAUACUAGGCACCUAAGAGUACCAGAGUGUUAUAGUCAUGCAAAUAGGAUAUCUGAUGUUGAUUAGAUUUAUGCCACAAGUAGACUUGUGUGCUUCCUUGGAGGUGUGAUUGUUUCAUGGAAGUCUUGUAAGUAGACCAUCUUAACAAGGUCAACAAUAGAAGUAGAACUCACAACAUUAUAUACUACCAAAGUUGAAGUUGAUUGGCUCCGUGAACUCCUUACGGAUUUACCAGUAGUUGAAAAACCAAUACUGGUUAUCUCUAUGAGCUACAAUAAUCAAACAUUUGUAAUCGAAGUAAACAGUUCUAAAGUUAACAUGAUGUCUACAAAGCAUGUAAAAAUGGUUGAAACUGUUAAAACACUAAGAAACUCUAGAUUAAUUAUGUUGGACUAUAUCCAUACAUCGAAUUUGGUAUGCCAGUUUACAGAAGAUUUGUCACAUAAUAUGAUUCAAGGUGCAUCGAGGAAUAUGGGCUUGAGACCCACUUAAUGUCAAUCCAUAGUGGUAGCAGUUUCUAUGUGAUUGGAGAUCCCAUAAAGUAGAAUGGUGAAACAAGCUAGAGAAUGACUGAUGGAGAGACUCCUUAAAUAAAAUCUUGAUAAUUUGAGAUGCACAUUUCUCAUUUGAUGUAUUGUAGGCGAACUAAAAUCUUAAUAUGAUUUGAGUGACUUAUCUAAGCAGGGAUGUUAUCUUACAGAACAUCCUAGAAAGAACACACCUAUAUGAGUUUGCAUGUUAGUCAUAGUCUAUCAUGUGUGGUAAUCUUUAUAUACUCAUGAAAGGCUUGAAGUUUGACUUAUAUGCUUCAAACCAAGGGGGUGCUUGUAACAGUCUAGUACAAGAUAAGAACAUUGGUAAAACUCACUUAACGCAAAAUUGUCAAUUUAAGGCAUAGUUCAUUGUUUAGAUGUGAAUGUGUAAUCCCUGUUCUAGAUGGAUGGUCAACUUAACAGCCUCCACCAAAACCCUGAUAUCUCAAAGAGUAGUGGAUUUGAGUUUGUCUAAUAUGUGGUUUAGAUUUUGGUGGGGAAUUUUAAUAUUUUAUGGGCUUGGCCCAUUUAAGGUAUUUAAUACUUUCAAAAGACAAGAUUAAACAUGUGUGAAUAGUGUCAUGAUUUUUUUCUAGUGCAAAAUAGCCCAACAAAUCAACACAUAUGUGGCUAUCAUUACACAUGUGUAAAGGUAAUGCAUCACACCAUUGUCACCCAUGUAUUUAGAAAAUACCAAGAAGAAAAACAACUUGUUUAUUGUAUUUUAUGGAGAUUAUCUUGCUUACAUAUAAUUAUAACCCAACAAAGUGGUCACUAAAUGUCAAAACCAACUAGGUACCAGGUCAUCUCUAGCUUAUCUUGCUAAUGAUAUUUUUGCAAAAUCCAAAAUUAAUCUUGCACAAGCACAAGGACUGAGAUGUGUAUAAAAAUCUCUUAGAUUAGUAGGUAAUCCAUCACACAAAGCGCAAUAGUGUAGCAAAACUGGCAGUCAAAAUAUUUUGCCUCCUUAUGCUCCUUGCUCUUUCUGCAAGUGCUGCUAACGCGACCAAUUUUCUGCAAUGCUCACAAGAUCCAAUUGCUUCCCUUCUUCCCUCAUACCUCUCACCAGCGACAUCUUCAGUAUGUGAAAACCCAAUUCUUCAACCCUAUAGGAUCCAACAGGCAAUCACAGCAAGCAUCUUACCUUUAUCACCCUUGUUCCUCCAACAACCGCCAGCCCUGUUACAACAAUUACCUUUGGUGCAUUUGUUGGAACAAAGCAUCAAGGCACAACAACUACAACAACCUGUGCUGACAAACCUUGUUGCCUACUCUCAGCAACAAUAGUUUCUUCCAUUCAACCAACUGGCUGCACUGAACUCUGCUGCUUAUUUGCAACAACAACAACAACUUCCAUUCACCCAGCUAGCUGCUGCCUACCCCCAACAAUUUCUUCCAUUCGACUAACUGGCUGCAUUGAACUCUGUUGCUUAUUUACAACAGCAACAACUAAUACCAUGAAACCAGCUAGCUGUUGCGAGCCCUGCUACCUUCUUGACACAACCACAGUUGAUGUCGUUCUACCUGCAAGCUGUGGCUAACGUCGGCACCCUCUUACAACUACAACAAUUGUUGCCAUUCAUCCAACUUGCUUUGACAAACCCAAUAGUGUUCUACCAACAACCCAUCAUUGGUGGCGCCCUCUUUUAUAUUUCUUAUGGGUUAUAGUUCAAUAAUGAAGUUUUUGGCUGAUGUUUGUGGCUUCCCAGAAAUAAGAAAGUAUAUUUCUAGAUUCUUAUGUGCUACUAGUCUCCAAAUGUGGUUGAUAAUUAUGUUGCUCUAAGAACGGGAGUAAUGAGGUAUAAAUCAUUGUUGAGGUGUGAUACUCGGGUAGUUGAGCAUUAGCACGCACAAAUAUGAUGAGGACGGUAUAAUCUCCAAAAAUAUGUACUUUGUUAGGUGGGACCCUAUAGCCAUGCAGAAUGUGCUCUGUUAGACACGUCGAUGGAAACGUGUCACACAUACGUUUUGUGAACCUAUUGAUAUUGUAUGUGCUUUUAGUUGUGUGGUGCUAUAGAUAUGAGGGCUUGUUUCACGUAAUGAGCUAGGGUAGAAAAAUAAUUAUUUGCCUUGGAUUGUUAUGGAAGAACAUACCAAUUGUGACUGCCAUCUCAAUCUAGCUAACAUCUAAGUGACCUAAAAGGAGAGCAUAAGGAACUGAUCUACAAUGACUAGCCUAGUGGUUUUAUAGGAAAUGGCAAAGAGGAAAAUGUGUUUAAGUUAUUACAAUUGUAUGGUUUAAAACAAGCACCUAAGCACAUGAGAAAUUUUAUGAAGUUCUGACUUUGGCUAAAUUUGUUGUAAAUGAAGCUGAUAAAUGUGUCUAUUGCUAGUUUGAGAGGAGGGAUGGCAUGACCUGUUUUUUAUAUUUGGAUGAUAUAUUAAUCUUUUGUAAUGAUGUUAAUAUUAUCGAGGAAGUAAAAUACUCUUUGUGUGGUAACUUUGAAAUAAAUGAUUUUGGAGAGGCUAAUGUUGUUCUUAACAUAAAGAUGUUGGGAGAAGGAGGAAAUAGGGGGUAACUCUUGUGAAUCCUAUUAGGUUGAAAAGACAUUUAGUUGUUUUGGAUAUAGUAACUACACAUCUGGUCAAAUUACUUAUGACACAAGCGUGUUGUUAAGGAAAAUGAUAUAAUCGCAUAGAAUCAAAUGAGAUACUAUCAAAUCAUGGUCUUCUCGUGUAUUUGGCUAAUCCAACGAGGCCUAAUAUCUCAUUGCUAUGAUUAAACUUAGUCGAUUUGUAUACAAUGUAGGGGAUGAUCAUGGCAAGCCCUAGAGAGGGUAUUGCGCUACCUAAAAGGGACUAUGAGUAAUGUAAUUUACUAUACCAGGCACCUAAGGGUACCAGAGUGUUACAAUGAUGCAAACAAGAUAUCUGAUGGUGACGAGAUUUAUGCCACAAGUGGAUAUGUGUGCUUGCUUGGAGGUGUGAUAGUUUCAUGGAAGUCUUGUAAGUAUACCAUCUUAACAAGAUCAACAAAACAAGUAGAACUGGCAACAUAAGAUACUACCAUAGUUGAAGCUAAGUGGCUUCUUGAACUCCUUAUGGAUUUACCAGUAGUUGAAAACUAAUAGUGGUUAUCUCUAUGAUCUAUGAUAAUCAAAUAGUCGUAAUCAAAGUGAACAGUUCUAAGGAUAACAUGAAUUCUACAAAGCAUGUCAAAAAGCGAUUGAAACUAUUAGAACACUAAGAAUCUCUAGAGUAAUUGUGUUGGACUAUGUCCAUACAUCUAAGAAUUUGGUAGGUCGAUUUAGAGAAGGUUUGUCCAUAAUGUGAUAGAUGGUGCAUCGUGUAAGAUGGGCUUGAGACCCUCUUAAUGCCAUUCCUUAGUGGUAGCAUGUUCUAUGUGAUUGGAGAUCUCGUGAAGUAGAAUGGUGAAACAAGAUAGAGAAUGACUGAUGGAGAGACUCCUUAAAUAAAAUCUAGGUAAUUUGAUAUGCAUAUUUCUCCUUUGAUGUAUCGUAGGCUAACUAAAAUCUUAAUAUGAUCGGAGUGAUUUAUCUAAGCAGGGAUGUUAUCUUAUAGAACAUCCUAGAAGGAACACACCUAUAUGAGUUUGACUGCUAUUCAUAGUCUAUGAUAUUUGGGAAAUCUUUAUAUACACCUGAAAGGCCUAGAAAUGUGACUUCUAUGCUUCAAACCAAGGGGAUGCUUGUAACAAUCUAGUAUCAGAUAAGAACUUUGGUGAAACUCACUUCAUGCAAAACCGUUAAUUCAAAGCAUAGUCCAUUGUUCAGAUGUGAAUGUAUAACCCAUGUUCUAGAUGGAUGGUCAACUUAAUAGCCUCCACCAAGACCAUGAUAUAUCAAAGAGUAGUGGAUUUGAGUUUGUCCAAUAUGUGGUUUAGAUUUUGGUGGGGAAUGUUAAUAUUUUAUUGGCUUGACCCAUUUAAAGUGUUUAAUAAUUUUGAAAGACAAGAUUAAACAAAC